rnacentral:rRNA from 1 species
UACGUAGGGUGCGAGCGUUAAUCGGAAUUACUGGGCGUAAAGGGCGCGUAGGUGGUUAAUUAAGUCAGAUGUGAAAUCCCCGGGCUUAACCUGGGAAUGGCAUAUGAAGCUGAUUAGCUAGAGUUUGGGAGAGGGGAGUGGAAUUUCAGGUGUAGCGGUGAAAUGCGUAGAUAUCUGAAGGAACACCAGUGGCGAAGGCGACUUCCUGGCCCGAUACUGACACUGAGGCGCGAAAGCGUGGGGAGCAAACAGG